rnacentral:lncRNA from 1 species
AAUUUAGCGCUUCAAUUUAAUAUUAAAAUAAAAUAGAAAAGCUUCUCAGUGAGAUGUCGAGGAGAGAGAGAGAGAGAGAGAGAGAGCUGCGAACCAUCUGAGACACCUCGUGCUAGAAUUUUAACAUCUCGCUCAAAUUUAAAGGCUUCGUGUUAAAUAUAAAAAUAUAUAAAUAUCGUUCUUUAACAAGCUUAAGCUUUUACAGUACAACGAUUGUUUUACAUGAUAUCAAAACAUGAUAUCCUAAGUUCGAGUCAUACCGGCCUCCUAGUGUUAUUAAUUUUCUCCCAUUUAAUUUAAGUUCAUGUCAUGGGCUUUGCAGAAAGUCUCGAACCCUAUAUAUAAACACCGUUUUCUAACAAGCUUAAGAUUUUAAAGUACAACGGUUGCUUCACAAUAUAUUUUUACAUUUAACACUUCGUGCCCCCACACUGAAUUACAGAUGGAAUCAGGAGAUGCAGCAAAAAAUGCAAA